UAGGGGUCUAGCGUUGUCCGGAAUUAUUGGGCGUAAAGAGCUCGUAGGCGGUUCGGCAAGUCGGAUGUGAAAUCUCCACGCUUAACGUGGAGGGGCCAUUCGAAACUGCCGUGACUCGAGUCCGGUAGGGGAGUGCGGAAUUCCCGGUGUAGCGGUGAAAUGCGCAGAUAUCGGGAGGAACACCAGUGGCGAAGGCGGCACUCUGGGCCGGAACUGACGCUGAGGAGCGAAAGCGUGGGGAGCGAACAGGAUUAGAUACCCUGGUAGUCCACGCCGUAAACGUUGGGCACUAGGUGUGGGGCUCUAUCGACGGGUUCCGUGCCGUAGCUAACGCAUUAAGUGCCCCGCCUGGGGAGUACGGCCGCAAGGCUA
rnacentral:rRNA from 1 species